AGCUCCAAUAGCGUAUAUUAAAGUUGUUGCAGUUAAAAAGCUCGUAGUUGAACCUUGGGCUUGGUUGGCCGGUCCGCUUUAUGGCGAGUACUGGACCCAACCGAGCCUUUCCUUCUGGCUAACCUUUCGCCCUUGUGGUGUUUGGAGAACCAGGACUUUUACUUUGAAAAAAUUAGAGUGUUCAAAGCAGGCCUUUGCUCGAAUAUAUUAGCAUGGAAUAAUAGAAUAGGACGUUAUGGUUCUAUUUUGUUGGUUUCUAGGACCAUCGUAAUGAUUAAUAGGGACGGUCGGGGGCAUCAGUAUUCAGUUGUCAGAGGUGAAAUUCUUGGAUUUACUGAAGACUAACUACUGCGAAAGCAUUUGCCAAGGACGUUUUCA
rnacentral:rRNA from 1 species